GGACUAUGUUUAGGUGUGAGCACUACAGCUGCAGCACAGCUGUGGACUCCACCCUGAUGAUUGUUUGAUUUACUUUCCUUUUAUUGGUUCUGCUGAGUCAUUGGACGUUCCAGUAGAAACAACGGACGGAGGAAUGUGAGCUAUGCAGCUCUCUGAUUGGUUGGAGAGAGAGCGCGUCACCAGAGUUACUUACGCUCUAGUGUCUUGUUGCGCUGCAGAGUACAGGCUGUUGUUCCUGCACGUGGCGUGUUAUUCACACUUGUAAAAUCUCCAGCUGUGACAUAUGAAGAAUAAGACGUGACAGUAGAGCGACACAGAGUCUUUAUCCUCACAGUGCAGCGGUGGAUUCAGCCUGUUUAAGCAGGAGGAGCAGUGAGUCCUGAGGCUGUGCUACCAACCAGGAUUUCAUCUGAUCCAGGACAACCUGAGAUGGAUACUUGCAAAUCUGUGAUAUUCUGCUGGAUUCUGCUCGUCUGCUUUUCACCGGCUGCAUAUACAGACCAGAAAAACAUCACAGCUGAGUCUGGACAUGACGUCACUCUGACAUGUCGAGCUCCAAACAACAACAUCAUUGUUGUUGUAGAGUGGAGCAGAGCUGAUCUGAAGGAAGAUUAUGUCCUCUUGUACCGGGAUGAGCAGAUUGAUCCAGAACAGCAGCAUCCAUCUUUUAUGAACCGGGUGGAUCUGCAGGACAGACAGAUGAAGGAUGGAGACGUGUCUUUGAUUCUGAAGAAUGUGACGACUGCUGAUAAUGGAACAUAUGAGUGUCGUGUCUUCAUGAGAGGAGCAAACCGCAGGAAGAGAGCUCAUCUGAAGACUAAGCCAAUCACCACCAUCAGCUUAAAUGUU